rnacentral:rRNA from 1 species
CAGCAGUCGCGAAAACUUCGCAAUGGGAGCAAUCCCGACGAGGGGAUUCCAAGUGCCAGCACUUAGUGUUGGCUGUUCUCCUGUCUAAAAAACAGGAGAAGUAAGGGCCGGGUAAGACGGGUGCCAGCCGCCGCGGUAAUACCCGCGGCCCGAGUGGUGGUCGAUAUUAUUGAGCCUAAAACGUCCGUAGCCGGUCUCGCAAAUCCCUGGGUAAAUCGGCCAGCUUAACUGUCCGAAUUCCGGGGAGACUGCGAGGCUUGGGACCGGGAGAGGUCAGAGGUACUUCCAGGGUAGGGGUAAAAUCCUGUAAUCCCGGAAGGACCACCGGUGGCGAAGGCGUCUGACUAGAACGGAUCCGACGGUGAGGGACGAAGCCCUGGGGCGCAAACGGGAUUAGAUACCCCGGUAGUCCAGGGUGUAAACGCUGCGGGCUUGGUGUUGGGGGUCCUUUGUGGACGCCCAGUGCCGGAGAGAAGUUGUU